rnacentral:rRNA from 1 species
ACGCGACCCCAGGUCAGGCGGGACCACCCGCUGAGUUUAAGCAUAUCAAUAAGCCGGAGGAA